rnacentral:rRNA from 1 species
UAUGGAGAGUUUGAUCCUGGCUCAGAGUGAACGCUGGCGGCGUGCCUAAUACAUGCAAGUCGAACGAUGAAGCUUCUAGCUUGCUAGAAGUGGAUUAGUGGCGCACGGGUGAGUAACGCAUAGGUCAUGUGCCUCUUAGUUUGGGAUAGCCAUUGGAAACGAUGAUUAAUACCAGAUACUCCCUACGGGGGAAAGAUUUAUCGCUAAGAGAUCAGCCUAUGUCCUAUCAGCUUGUUGGUAAGGUAAUGGCUUACCAAGGCUAUGACGGGUAUCCGGCCUGAGAGGGUGAACGGACACACUGGAACUGAGACACGGUCCAGACUCCUACGGGAGGCAGCAGUAGGGAAUAUUGCUCAAUGGGGGAAACCCUGAAGCAGCAACGCCGCGUGGAGGAUGAAGGUUUUAGGAUUGUAAACUCCUUUUGUUAGAGAAGAUAAUGACGGUAUCUAACGAAUAAGCACCGGCUAACUCCGUGCCAGCAGCCGCGGUAAUACGGAGGGUGCAAGCGUUACUCGGAAUCACUGGGCGUAAAGAGCGCGUAGGCGGGAUAGUCAGUCAGGUGUGAAAUCCUAUGGCUUAACCAUAGAACUGCAUUUGAAACUACUAUUCUAGAGUGUGGGAGAGGUAGGUGGAAUUCUUGGUGUAGGGGUAAAAUCCGUAGAGAUCAAGAGGAAUACUCAUUGCGAAGGCGACCUGCUGGAACAUUACUGACGCUGAUUGCGCGAAAGCGUGGGGAGCAAACAGGAUUAGAUACCCUGGUAGUCCACGCCCUAAACGAUGGAUGCUAGUUGUUGGAGGGCUUAGUCUCUCCAGUAAUGCAGCUAACGCAUUAAGCAUCCCGCCUGGGGAGUACGGUCGCAAGAUUAAAACUCAAAGGAAUAGACGGGGACCCGCACAAGCGGUGGAGCAUGUGGUUUAAUUCGAAGAUACACGAAGAACCUUACCUAGGCUUGACAUUGAGAGAAUCCGCUAGAAAUAGUGGAGUGUCUAGCUUGCUAGACCUUGAAAACAGGUGCUGCACGGCUGUCGUCAGCUCGUGUCGUGAGAUGUUGGGUUAAGUCCCGCAACGAGCGCAACCCCCUUUCUUAGUUGCUAACAGGUCAUGCUGAGAACUCUAAGGAUACUGCCUCCGUAAGGAGGAGGAAGGUGGGGACGACGUCAAGUCAUCAUGGCCCUUACGCCUAGGGCUACACACGUGCUACAAUGGGGUGCACAAAGAGAAGCAAUACUGCGAAGUGGAGCCAAUCUUCAAAACGCCUCUCAGUUCGGAUUGUAGGCUGCAACUCGCCUGCAUGAAGCUGGAAUCGCUAGUAAUCGCAAAUCAGCCAUGUUGCGGUGAAUACGUUCCCGGGUCUUGUACUCACCGCCCGUCACACCAUGGGAGUUGUGUUUGCCUUAAGUCAGGAUGCUAAACUAGCUACUGCCCACGGCACACACAGCGACUGGGGUGAAGUCGUAACAAGGUAACCGUAGGUGAACCUGCGGUUGGAUCACCUCCUUU